UUGAAAAGCAACUAAACGAGAUGACAGAAAGCUUCAACAAACAUCAAAAUGCAAUUGUAAAAGAACUUGUAAAAGCUAAAAAUAAUAGAUUAGAGAACCACAAUGUAACCCUUCUCAUGCAAACAUUCAAAAUUUCAUAUCAUUUAGAUCAAAUUGAGGACUUCUUAGAAUCAGUAUUUGAAACUAUUCAACUUGCUAAACUGAAAAUUAUUCCCAGAAACUUUCUAGAUAAGAGCGAGCUUAAACUUAUCAAGGACAAAUUAGAAGAACAACACGUAGAGUUCAUUAAUACAGAUCAGGUUUACGAGCUUUUAGAUAUCAUAUCAGUCUUCAAAGACAAAACAUUAUAUUUCAUCAUACUCAUACCCCAACUAGAACCUUCCAGCUUCAACCAACUACUCUUAGAGCCAGUACCUAUCAACGGUAGAACGAUGAAGAUACCUACAACAUCAGCACUAUUCGGAAUAAACUCAACGUUUUUCAUCAAAAGGGAUUGUCGAGCAAUCGAAACAAACACUUUAUGCAACCGGAACGACCUCAUGGAUGUUUCCACAGAUAACUGCUUUUCAAAAAUUCUAAGAGGAUACCCAGUAUCCUUUCAGUGCUCCUUGUUACCUCAUACAUCAUUAUCAGGAGACGUUCAACAACCAUUCCAAUAAUCGUAUCGGGACGAUACGAUCUUAAAGGGG